rnacentral:rRNA from 1 species
UACAGAGGUUUCAAGCGUUGUUCGGAUUCAUUGGGCGUAAAGGGUGCGUAGGUGGCGCGGUAAGUCGGGUGUGAAAUCUCGGAGCUUAACUCCGAAAUUGCAUUCGAUACUGCCGUGCUUGAGGACUGGAGAGGAGACUGGAAUUCAUGGUGUAGCAGUGAAAUGCGUAGAGAUCAUGAGGAAGACCAGUGGCGAAGGCGGGUCUCUGGACAGUUCCUGACACUGAGGCACGAAGGCCAGGGGAGCAAACGGG